UUGUACUAGAUGGGGAGCUAGCGGUUCCUUGUAACCCUCAAUCCGCUAUAGAGGGAUUGAAUACCUGUCUGAGGGAUUAAGGUUUAAUAUUAAUUGGUAAAUAUGUGGUGUUGAUAAUUGAGCCCUUUGCGACGAGAGCCCAUGAACCCUGUCAGAUCCGGAAGGAAGCAGCAGUAUGUGGAUACUUUUGGGUGCUGAAGGUAAAACUUGAUUGGAGCUAACGUUUAUUUGAUUAUAUUAAUAUCUUGUUUCGACGACAGGGUACAA
rnacentral:SRP_RNA from 1 species